UCAUCUAUUACACAAAAAAUAAAGAGCACAUUUCAUUACGCACGUCAAUACGUCAAAUAAAUUCAAUAAGUCAAAUAAUACGGCAGGCCCCAUAGCUAAAUCUUACUCUCUUUCUUACGCUCACCGUUCGUUCAUCUUACGCUCAUAUACUCAUUGAAUGCUUUUUUUUUCUCAGUCGCUGAAAGGAGCGCGACGAAGAAGGCUGGUCUGCGUUUGGAUUGUUCUUUUUAUGUAUGCGUGUCACACAUUCACUUACACAGGGGCAUGUGUGCGUGCGAUUUCGUGCCUGGUAUACAUUCACACGCAUAGGCAAACAAGUCGUUAAGCGUUAGAGGUGGAGAAACAUCGAUGUUUUUCCAUCUCUAAUCUCUAAGGCGCAUAAAGGAAGAUUGACACAUUUUAUACUUGUUGGUGAUGUUGGCGUGAGUGGUGGAAAUAAAUCAUCGACAGAUUUUUAAAAAGAGCAGCCAGUGAACAGCCCGAUGAGGAUCAAAAGAGGAGGGAUGUUUCAAUAGCGUGGGGGCGGGAUGUUUCAAAAAAAAACGCCGAAAGAACGCAUGGAAUUUGCAAUUAUUGUGGUAAGGCAAUAAAGACGAGUGAAAACACUACUAACCUUAUGGACCAAUUAAAACAUGUUCAUCCUGGUCGACUUAAUGUCGAAAGUGGCCAAAAAACAAACUUUUAGAAAAGUUUGUCGGACAAUCGAUCGCCUUUUACAAUAAUGACUCGGCACGAUAACGUGUAUUGGACAAUAAGGUGAUGAACAUGAUUGCAGUCGAUGUACAACCUUUUAUUGUCGUUAAGGACGAAGGGUUUAAGGCACUUAUGAGGGAAAUGGACCCCCGCUACAGGUUACCGAGUAGGUCACACCUGCGCGACGUAGUC